rnacentral:rRNA from 1 species
UACGUAGGGUCCGAGCGUUGUCCGGAAUUAUUGGGCGUAAAGGGCUCGUAGGCGGUUCGUCACGUCGGGAGUGAAAACUCGGAGCUUAACUCCGAGCCUGCUUCCGAUACGGGCAGACUAGAGGUAGGCAGGGGAGAGCGGAACUCCUGGUGUAGGCGGUGGAAUGCGCAGAUAUCAGGAAGAACACCGGUGGCGAAGGCGGCUCUCUGGGCCUACCUGACGCUGAGGAGCGAAAGCGUGGGUAGCGAACAGG